rnacentral:lncRNA from 1 species
UACGAAAUAUAUUUUGUUCAACAGAGUUAUAGAAAUAAAAACUCUUCAAAAGAAGUAUGUGUGUUUAAAAUCCAAAUUAUAAAAUAAAAAUCCUGAGAGUAUCAUGACCCAUCGUGUGAUAAAGACACAAAGUUUCUGCGUGGAUUACAGUUGUAGCCACCAUUGACUGAUGGUAAAUUUGGAGGGCACUGAUCUGCAAGCACAAGCAUAUGAAGUAAUUUGAAAACAAAACAACCUCACAAACUGAUGAAUUCUGCAUACCGGCUCUCAGAAUGUUAGGGAACAGAGACAUGUGGAUGGUGAGAACACGAAGUUAAGGGAAUAAUUCUAUAAAAUGGGCCCAUUCUUCUGACCCCCACAUGUUUUGUUUUCCAGGAAGCAAUUUACGUGCAGUUCUACGUGGCCUGAGUGGACAGAAUAUAUUGCAUUCCUCAGCAAACUACCUGUUAUCUACAGGAGAAAUGCAAAUAAUGUCGAUUGAAGGAAUCCUGAUUACCCUGAAGGGGGACACUUUUGAAACCUUUUCUACGCACCUGAUCCUGAAACCCAGGGAGAUAAGGCUAAUUCCUCCUGACAAUAAAAUCUAUAAGAAUUUAUGAUUAAGAAUCCAAUUAAAACUAAUCAGCAUGGGCCAAUGAGACCUAGAAAUGUCAUGGAGAGGGGACUUAAAAGUCUGAGGUCAUCUUGCUGUCAGCCAAAAGUUGAAAGGUAGAAGUGAGUGAGACUCUCUGGAAACUUCUUUGGGAUCCCCAAUAAAACUACAGUGCAGGAAAGGCAUAUUGUCCCUCUCCUUUCUGAGAGGACCCACUCUCUCCCUUGAAAAUAUCCCCUGCCUCAUUUGCCAUCCCUUCAAUAAACUCAUGCCUGUUACUCUGAGCAA